GGGGAGUCAGGUGGCUGAGCGGUUAGAGAAUCGGGCUAGUAAUCAGAAGGUCGCUGGUUCGAUUCCUGGCCGUUGCAAAAUGACGUUGUGUCCUUGGGCAAGGCACUUCACCCUACUUGCCUCAGGGGGAAUGUCCCUGUACUUACUGUAAGUCGCUCUGGAUAAGAGCGUCUGCUAAAUGACUAAAUGUAAAUGUA